UGUGAAUAAUUUACAAAUAUAUGAUUUGUUAAAUAAGACGCCAUUUUUUAUCAAUGUCUAAAAUGGAUAUAUCUCGUAUGAUAUCCUUAAAAAUCGGUGGUCUUUCUUAUCGAACAACCCACGAUGAUUUAAGAGACGAAUUUGCACGAUAUGGGGAUGUGGGAGAUGUUUACAUUCCAAGAGAACACAAUUCAAGUAGAAGUAGAGGCUUUGCCUUUGUAAGAUUUUUUAACCAAAAUGAUGCAGAUAGAGCGAUGCGUAAAAUGGAUAAUAGAAUGCUUCACGGACGUCCUAUAAGAGUUUCUAUGGCUCGUUAUGGUCCGCCCAGUUCACUCGUUACUUCUCUAGCUAGGCGCCGUGAAAUGAAAAGAACUAGGAGCAGAAGUAGGAGUAAAAAUCAAAACAGAAGCAUAAGCAGAGAUAGAAAUAGACGCAGGGAAAGGACCCGGAGUAGGGGUAGAAAUUCUAGGAGCUCUACCCGAUCAACAAGAGUUAGCCGUGAGCCAGAGCGCAGCAGAAGUAGAAGAAAAUUUAAUAGAAGUGUAUCUAGAUCAUCAUCCAGAGGUAGAAGGCAAAGAGGUAGGAGUAAUAUAUCAACUAGAAGGUCAAUUUCAAGGAGAAGAAAUGGUAAUGACCGUGACAAUAGAUCAUUUAAAAAAACAAGAUCAAAUGAUAAAACAUCAAGUAGAAGUGUUUCUAAACAAAGGUAUACUCGAAAUAAUAAUAAAUCAAAGAGGUCCACAUCCUCUGACACAAGUGUCAGGAAAAAAAGUAGAUCUGCUUCUAAAGGAACACCAAAACGUUCCUCAAAAAGUACAAGCUCAAAUAAAUCAAUUUCCAAGCCAUAUAAAGUUAGAGUAAAUAGGAGUUUGUCUAGAGAUAAAAGUGUGUCAUCUAAAAAUAGUGAUACAGUAAUGAGCCCUGAAAGAUUUAAAAAAGAUAGUAAAAAAAUGAUAAAUGGUCGUAUAAGCUCUGAGCAUUCAUCAAGAUCUAGUUCAAUCUCUAAUCAACACAAAUUAGAAAAAUCUGAUUCUAUAGCUAAUGACACAGAAGCAAAUGACAAACUAUGGAGCCAAAAUGACACUAAUUUGGUUGGGAGUGCAGAGGAAGAUAGAAAUGAAGAGAUAAAAGAGUCGUCUGUUGAAAAAGAUGCUGAUUCAAUCAAUGAAAUCCAUGUGGUGUCCCCUAAAUCUGAUAAAAUAGAAACAGUAAUUGAUAAAGAUUCUGAUGAUGAAAAUGAUAAUGAAAUAGAUGUUAACAAAAAGUUAAAAAAUAAAAAAGAUAAAAAAAAGAAAAAAAUUUCUAAAAAGGAUAAAAAGAAAAAGAAAAAAUUAAAGAAAUUGAAAAAGAAGAAGAAAGAAAAAAAGAAACUUAAAAAAAAAUUAAAAGCUAAACCUAAGUCUAAAAAUGACUCUAGUAAUGAAGAGGACAUUGAUAAAAAUGGUUCUCAAAUUGACGAAUUAAAGAUUGUUGCCAAAGAUAUAGAUAAGCCAGAAGUUGGAGAUCAUGAAAUUGCUUUACCCAAAGAACCAUUAGUAAAAAAAACAUCUAGCAAAAAAAAGUUGAAGACUAAAAAAGUAAAUAAAAAAAAGAAAAAGUUGAAAGGUGGCAAAAAGAAAAAAAAGAAACAUAGUUCAACCUCUUCUGAUUCAGAAGAAUCAUCCAAUUCUUCUACCCAAUCAUCAACAUCUUCAAGCACAAGUAGUUCAGAUGAUUCCUCAGACUCUGAUUCUGACUCAUCUAACAAUUCAACUUCAUCUCACAACUCAACCUCAAGUGCUGACCUAGCACCUUCCCCAAAUCAUGAUAUUAAAAGCUCUGAUUAAAUUAGCAGAGCAAUCAUUCAUAGACUUAUGCCAGACACCUAAAAGAAUUGAUAAAGUCUUAUAAAAUGUUCGUACAUAUAUAACAUACGUUUAACGAACGAGAAGGCAUGGCUAGGUAAUAUUUGCGCGUUUAAAAAUCGUUUGGUAUCUAUCGUUAUUGGUCGAUCAUGUGCUUUUCUUCACCUAACCAUUUUUUAAUGCGAAUAUUCGUUUCACUAUCAAAAAAAACGCGUUAAGUUAUUGCUAAAUAUUUAGGAAACGCAUCGGGGUUGUGACCUACCAAUCUAGAUGCCGCGACGUUAUAAUUUACAUGAAAAGUUUUAUCUUUCCAUUCAUUAUCUGUUAUUUUAGAUUAAAACGUUCAGCACACUUUAUUUUAUAUUGUGAGAACAGACAAGACGUGAGUUUAAUAUUCCUAGUUAUUAUUUUAAAUAGCUUAUAAUUGAGUUUAAAUAAACUUUAGA